GAUAUAUAUAUAUAUAUAUAUUCGCGAACAUGCGUGACUAUGUGAGUUAAAAAGCUCUCACUGUUUCUGCUGACCAACAACUUUCAAACUGCAUCUUUCUACUCUAGAAUCUGGAAGACUGGCUGGCCCAGAACUACAGCUGGCUAAACGUUCCUAUACCAACGGGACCCCCACACCCACCCCCAGAGCUAUUAAAGGGAAAUUAUCCACAGAACUGUAAACAUAUUUAUCUGCUAUUUUGACCCGGGAGUCCCCUGGCUGACCUCUGCCGGACGGUAGAGGAACUGCAGCUACAUCAACUAAUAAAAACAAACUAUAAAGCAAUGAUGUGAACUGGCUCUGUGGUCUUCAGCAGAGGUCUCAACUUCAUCAGACAACACCUAGACACAGAGCUGGAUGAGGCCAGCACAAACAGCGGCCUAACCGACUAAGAUGAUGGAUCCAUGGGGUCAGGAAAGCCAGAAGAAGGGGAGCUGGAGAGGUACCUUUCAUGUCCAUUCACUGGAGGUGUGGAUCUAUUACAUGGCGUUCCUCACAUCAAGAAGCUGUCGAUCAGAAUCAGUACAGCUCUUCCUGCACCUGGAGCUUGUGAAGGACUUCUCAGUCAUGCAGGACUCCUGUUCACUGCUGAACAGUUACAGCUUCACAGAAAGAACCUUGAGAGCAAACUGCUGCUGAAGCUUAACCAGCACCUCACUGAGUGAAGAAAUGGCACAUUUUUGCUAAAUAUGCAGAAAUAAAUGCAAACCCAUACAAUUUAUGGUAAACUGAGCUGCCUUGUAUGUACAUAUGUUGAAGAUGCCUCGUUCUAAUGUUUUCUCUUAGGCUGCUGUGCCAUUUGGAGCAAAAAUGAAUAUAAAGUUCACAGCAUAUCUUGUCACUGGAAAUUGUUUGCACUGUUUAUAUAUUUAUAUUAUUUACUGUAGGCAUUGGUGAAAAAAGCUUUAUGUUGUGAAAAACUGAAAUCUGGAAAUUAGAAUUGUUGUGCCUUAUUUUGUUGAUCUUUUUACAUAUUCCUGUUGAAAAUACUAAAAUCUGUUUAUUUAUUU